rnacentral:rRNA from 1 species
CGUAGGGGGCUAGCGUUGUCCGGAUUUAUUGGGCGUAAAGAGCGUGUAGGCGGCCAUGUAGGUCCGGUGUGAAAACUCGAGGCUUAACCUCGAGAUGUCAUCGGAAACCAUUUGGCUAGAGUCCGGAAGAGGAGUGUGGAAUUCCUGGUGUAGCGGUGAAAUGCGCAGAUAUCAGGAAGAACACCAAUGGCGAAAGCAGCUCUCUGGGACGGUACUGACGCUGAGACGCGAAAGCGUGGGGAGCGAACAGGAUUAGAUACCCUGGUAGUCCACGCCGUAAACGAUGGGCGCUAGGUGUGGGCGGUGUCGACUCCGUCCGUGCCGAAGCUAACGCGUUAAGCGCCCCGCCUGGGGAGUACGGCCGCAAGGCUA